AAAAAUAAUAAAUAGGAUUAUAGUUUAACAAUAAAACAUUUGAUUUGCAUUCAAAAAAUAUUGAAUA
rnacentral:tRNA from 1 species